AUCCCAUAUCAGCUAAGGAGUGUUAUCACAUACUAAGUCUGGUUUUACUCAAGAUACUCCUAAAAAUGUUUAUCUUCCAGAGUCUUCAGUGGGACUGCGCAUAUAUUCAAAGACGAGCACAUAUGAAAGUGUUCAGACACUGCAGAGAAAAGACGGAUAAAAGGACUUGUACAAGAGAAUCAACAGGGAGACUUGUCACCAUUUUACUGUGGAGAUAGAAAAAGAGAAGGAAACUGGCUUUUGAACCACUAGACUGUCACCUGCCAUUUGCACAGGCUUACCACAUGCUGUUUUGUUCGAAACUUUAUGACCAGCUGCAACAGCAAUCCUUUAGCCUGUUUGGAUGAGGUGCAAGGGCUCUAACCCUGCAUGGGCACUCAGGGGAAAUAUAUUUUCAAAAGCAUAUGCCAUCCCUGUAACUGCGGUCUUUCUAAUUACAGAUGUUUCUGACAACAGCAGCGCUUGUAGCUGGAUUCUUCACCAGAAAUAAAACUGUAUUAAGCAGUAUGAAGAACUGAGCAGCUGAUCACUUUGCAAAUCACCGUCUUUUUGUCAUCUAGUUUGGGAAAGAAACCUUUGACAAUAUGAAGUCUUUCAAGCUACACUGAAAAUUGAGCCAUGCAGAGAGCUUCGCCCACAGGAAAAAAAAUGGCUUGGAAAAGUUUAACUCAUCAGUCUCUGACAGCUCGUCUCUGGCUGUGGAGCCUCAUGUGUUUCACAGGCUGCUAUGAUUCAGCAUGGAAAGCACACAAACUCUGUCUCUCGAAGAUCCCAGUGCACAGGAGAACAGCAAAACCUCAGGUCUGAGCACAGCACACUGGUGCACA